rnacentral:rRNA from 1 species
GACGAACGCUGGCGGCGUGCUUAACACAUGCAAGUCGAACGAAGUGGCGCACGGGUGAGUAAUAUAUAGUUAAUCUGCCCUACACAGAGGAACAACAGUUGGAAACGCCUGCUAAUACCUCAUAGUGUAGGAUGAGACUAUAUCGUAUCAGCUAGUUGGUAAGGUAAUGGCUUACCAAGGCUAUGACGCGUAACUGGUCCGAGAGGAUGAUCAGUCACAUUGGAACUGAGACAACGUGCAAACUACUACGGGAGGCAGCAGUAAGGAAUAUUGCGCAAUGGGGGAAACCCUGACGCAGCAACGCGGCGUGGAGGAUGACACUUGUCGGAGCAUAAACUCCUUUUAUCAGGAAAGCGGUACCUGAUGAAUAAGCACCGGCUAACUCCGUGCCAGCAGCCGCGGUAAUUC